GGGUGAGUAACAUAUCGGAACGUAUCCAAUAAUGGGGGAUAACUAAUCGAAAGGUUGGCUAAUACCGCAUACGCCCUACGGGGGAAAGCAGGGGAUCUUCGGACCUUGCGUUAAUGGAGCGGCUGAUAUCUGAUUAGCUAGUUGGUGAGGUAAAGGCUCACCAAGGCGACGAUCAGUAGCUGGUCUGAGAGGACGACCAGCCACACUGGAACUGAGACACGGUCCAGACUCCUACGGGAGGCAGCAGUGGGGAAUUUUGGACAAUGGGCGCAAGCCUGAUCCAGCCAUUCCGCGUGAGUGAAGAAGGCCUUCGGGUUGUAAAGCUCUUUCGCAAGGGAAGAAACGUUACGGGCGAAUAACUCGUGAUAAUGACGGUACCUUGAUAAGAAGCACCGGCUAACUACGUGCCAGCAGCCGCGGUAAUACGUAGGGUGCGAGCGUUAAUCGGAAUUACUGGGCGUAAAGCGUGCGCAGGCGGUUUUGUAAGUCAGAUGUGAAAUCCCCGAGCUCAACUUGGGAACUGCGUUUGAAACUACAAGACUAGAAUAGGUCAGAGGGGGGUAGAAUUCCACGUGUAGCA
rnacentral:rRNA from 1 species